rnacentral:rRNA from 1 species
UACGUAGGCAGCGAGCGUUGUUCGGAGUUACUGGGCGUAAAGGGGGUGUAGGCGGUUGUUUAAGGUUGGGGGGAAAUCUCCCGGCUCAACUGGGAGGGUGCGCCGAAUAAUGAAUGACUUGGAGUGCGGGAGAGGAAAGUGGAAUUCCUGGUGUAGCGGUGAAAUGCGUAGAUAUCAGGAGGAACACCGGUGGUGUAGACGGCUUUCUGGACCGUAACUGACGCUGAGACACGAAAUCGUGGGUAGCAAACAGG